ACUUCCUCGCGCGGCGGCCGUUGCGGCCGUUGGGCGUUCCGGGGCGCGGCGGGUAGCGUGCGGCGCCGCUCCCUGAGCGGCGCUAAGCUAUGGGACCAAGAUUUCACAGAACUGCCUUGUGGACUGUGGCAGCUGCAAAAGAGGAGGCUUAUUAGAGCAGUGGUGCAGUAUUGUGGGCUGAAAAGAGGGGCUGCUCAAAGGAGAAGGAGUGGACCUGAUUGCUUCCUCCAGGUGCAGCAGUACAGCUAAAGGACAUAGGGGAAAUGAUGCUAGGGUGCCGUUGUGUCCAGAUUUGGCAGUGGGAAGAAAUGAUGAAUAAUUAGUGCUGUCAUCUGCUCUUCAAACCUCUCUGAAGAAGAGAUAGUGAUCCAGUCCCUCAUCAACUGGCUGGCCACUGUGGGAAACUGUUACCUUGAAAGACCUGCCUUUUCAGUGGGUCUCGCCUGAUACUCCAGCUCUGUGUAGGCAGCCCUGUACACUUCUGUUCUCAUUCUGUGCUGCAUCUUCUGUGAUUAUUCCUGCCUGGACAGCAAUGCAUUGCAAGUGUCAGUAAAGGCAUCUGACCUGUCGUAAGUGAUGAAACUAGAAAAUGAAAUUGAAGAAAAUGACAGCUCUUUACUGACUGCU